CUCGAGUGGCAGAUAGCCUAUUCAAGUAGAGCGGCGAAUAAUUCAAUCUUAUGUUUCAAGUCAUAGUAUUAUUUUGAAAAGUUAAAUUAUCCGAGUUUAUUAUAUAUGUGUUUAGUGGGCUGAAGAAACGAGAAUUGAAUAUUUCCAGCAGUGAAUUGUGGCUAUCUGCCACUUGGGGAAAAUCUGUAACUACUCCUACCACCUGAGAGGGACCGCUUUACGACCAAGUCACCCAGGGGACAAGUUUUAAAAGCCCAUGUAAUUUUCUUUUACUUCAUUAUCCUGCAUCUUGGAGAACUGCCAUGUUACUGUUAGCUGUGUAGCACCAUUCUGUGGCUAACUAGGGAUCGAAGACGUUACUGAGAAGUAGCAAGGAACACUUGUGGGGACAAUAUCAGGUCAAUCGGGUUUGUUUCGGGAAAUUUUAUAUUUUACAGUGCAAUAGUUACCUACAUAUACCAGUAUACUUAUACAUUUAUCUUUUUUAUAAUAUCCAGAACAUUUAAUAAAUUAACAUACACAUAAUUCAAUAGCGCUCCCACACCUGUAUGUCUCUUUGUAAAAGAGGAUAAUUUGGGCCCAAAUAACCUUUUCCCAUACAGUAGUUCCUUACAUUUAUUUUUUUUAUCACCAUUAUUAGACUUGUUUCCCAUAUUUUGCAUAUAACUAUAUAUAUUUUAAUAUCA